UGACUGCCAGAUCCCAUAGCGAGUUACGGAGCAACAUUGAAGACUGGAAAUCCUUGCCAAAUUUGCCUUUUCCAAUCCAAGAUCUGCAUCGCAGAUGAUGCAAAUUGCCACGAUGCCUGCGAUUAGUUGUUUCAAGAGUCGAGCGGAGACUACGGACAACGAACUGCACUGAUGGAGCUUGAUGUGCCGCAGUCAGCUUAAAGUAUACAGUAAUGAAUGCAAAGGAUGCCAUAUUGAGCGACUAGAAAGGUUGCAUUUCUGGGGAAGGGGAGCAACUCAGAGGAACAGCGGCUUUACUCACAGCCUCAGCAAUAGCGAACCAGGAUGGCUACUGUCGUCGGGAGGAAGCCUUCUCAUAAUGAAGACUUACGAAACUUGAAUCUUGCCGGUCAUGUUGGAUUUGACAGCCUUCCAGAUCAGUUAGUCAACAAGUCAACAACACAAGGAUUUUGUUUUAAUAUUCUUUGUGUCGGUGAAACUGGUAUUGGCAAAUCAACAUUAAUGGACACAUUGUUCAACACUAAAUUUGAAAAUGCACCAGCCUCUCAUACCGAACCCGGUGUUCGAUUGAAAUCAAGCAGCUAUGAACUACAGGAGAGCAAUGUACGACUAAAGUUGACCAUUGUCGAUACAGUAGGAUUUGGAGACCAGAUAAACAAAGAAGACAGCUACAAACCUAUCGUUGAAUAUAUUGAUGCACAGUUUGAAGCCUAUCUCCAGGAAGAAUUGAAAAUCAGGCGUUCCUUUUACAAUUACCCUGACUCAAGAAUCCACACCUGUCUCUACUUCAUUGCGCCCACAGGACAUUCGCUGAAAUCUCUUGACCUUGUUACUAUGAAAAAAUUGGAUAGCAAGGUGAAUAUAAUCCCUAUAAUUGCUAAAGCAGACACAAUCUCCAAGAGCGAAUUACAUAAAUUCAAGAUCAAAAUCAUGAGUGAAUUAGUCAGUAAUGGUGUGCAGAUUUACCAGUUCCCAACAGAUGAUGAAACUGUUGCUGAGAUCAAUUCAACAAUGAAUGGUCAUCUUCCAUUUGCAGUUGUUGGCAGCACUGAAGAAAUAAAGAUUGGUAAUAAAAUGGCGAAAGCUCGGCAGUAUCCCUGGGGAGUUGUACAGGUGGAGAAUGAAAGCCACUGUGACUUUGUAAAGCUCCGCGAAAUGUUAAUUCGUGUAAAUAUGGAAGAUCUGAGGGAGCAAACACAUGCACGUCAUUAUGAACUGUACAGACGCUGUAAACUGGAGGAAAUGGGAUUUAAAGACACGGAUCCAGACAGCAAACCAUUCAGCUUGCAGGAGACCUAUGAAGCAAAAAGAAAUGAAUUUUUGACUGAGCUGCAGAAAAAAGAAGAAGACAUGAGACAGAUGUUCGUCAUGAGAGUGAAAGAGAAGGAAUCUGAGCUGAAAGAAGCUGAAAAAGAGCUUCACGAAAAGUUUGAUCACCUGAAGAAGACCCAUCAAGAUGAGAAGAAGAAACUUGAAGAUAAGAAGAAAGAUCUAGAGGAAGAAAUGAAUGCAUUCAACAAGAGGAAAGCAGCGACUCAGCUGCUCCAAUCACAGGCUCAGCAAGCUUCCCAGACCACCAAGAAGGACAAGGAUAAGAAGAAUGCAAGCUUCACAUAAGCAACUCUGGCAAGUCACGGAUGUCACCCUAUCCAUCUGCUUAGCUGUAACGUGUCUGGCAUCAGAAUGCCCAUCCAUUUUUUUUUAAAUUGAGAGAACGUUAACAAACAACUUUUCAUAUAGGAAAAUCCUUUCAAAAGCAUUCCAUGAAAUGGAGAAGGGGCACAACUUAAAACUGAAAAAAAACUGGUAUUUGAAGGGGGCAGUCAGAAGCAAUGGAUGUCUCUUUGAAAAUGAAAACUGUAGCUAGAAUAAUAGGACUAUUAUUACAAAGAGGAAAGUGAUCAGCCAUGUAGGAUUAGAAAGGAUUAUAUAUCAGGAUAUCAUAACAACUUUUCUAAUGCCUUUUCCAUUUAGAAGUCUUGCAGAAAUCAAAUCUGAAAGAGAUAAUUUUGCAAUUUCAUGGGUUAUGGAUAAUGCUAUUUUUAUACUUUGUGUAAUGCUACCAUCAUAGUUCCAUAAUGUGUUUCUGUUGUUAUUAACAAUGUGGAAUUAAUAUCUGUCCUUGCUCUUAAAAUAUCCUAAAUCCACAGGUCAAACCCGAUCCUUUUAACCCUUUAUUUUGUGCUGUUCACCCUGAGAGAGAUUUCUUUUUGAUGCCUUUCCAAAAAGAAAUUAGUUAUUGUUCCUUGUCUGCUGUGGAUUUGUCUCUGCUCUCUUCUGGCUUGGUAGUAUCUCCUCUUGUUUACAACAUACCCAUCUAUUUUAAAACCAGGACCAAUGUCACUAGCAGAGAUACACAGCUUCAAACCUUUUGAUGGCAGGUUUCAAUUUUGAUUGCUAACCAGACUUGGCUCAGGAAAGAGGUGGUCAUAUCCAUCUUGACAUGUGCACGAGAAGCCUUAACAUCAACUUACAUUGAAACAGAAAUGCUGAAGGUUUAAUCGGAACUGUAGUUUACAGCAUAUCUAUUAUUUUAAAACUUUGCACAUUAACACUCGUAAAAUUUAUCAGUUGCUCCCAAGUGAAUAAAAUUUGUUAUUUAUUUAAUUAUGGAGCAAUUUUAAAUCAUAAAACUAUUUUUACUGGGAGUUGGCAGUGAAACUGAUAUUUGUUAUAACUAAAAUUCAUAUUUCCUUGAAGUUGAAUGCUCAUCUGAGCAUUAAGUGUUAACAUCUCACCUUUCCUUGAAUCUCAACUUCAAUAGUGACAAUAGCUGUAUGAUGUUAACAUAUUACUGAAUGUCAACAGUACUGUGUUUAACUUAGUAGCUGUCCAAUUCACGUUCGUUAACAACUUGUCUAUCAGUUUGUCUCUGUUGGGUAGGAUUGCCCAAUGCCAGUUCCUAGCUGGACUUUGCAUGUGCUAAUGGGGGUAGCUUAUGCAAACCAGGAGGGAGAAUAUCUGAAGCAGUUGUCCCUCACCAGUGACAGUUAAGAAUUCAUUCUCAAAUUUGCUUAAAAUUAUGUUAUUCUAAUCUUACCCUAACUAACUACAGCAGUGACUCCUGUUUUAGUUGAUAGGAAGGAUUUGGUGAUGGGGAUCAAAGGACCAAUCGAUUCAAUAAAUGUAAUUUUAUAAAUUGAAGCCUUGAUGGUCAUCAAAGUUUUGAUAACAGCCCUUAACCUGUAAUCUUGAGGACAUGCUUUUAACUGCACAUCUUUCCUGGGCCAUGUUGAGCUGAUUACCCUAGCAGCAGUUUUAUUUUGUUUUGUAUGUCUUUUACCUUGUUUUCACAGUAAUCCUUGGCUCUGCACGGAAUAACUAAUAUCCCACAAAAUCUAGUUGGAUUGCACUUUCACCUAUGCACCUUCUUUAUCUAAUUAUCCUGCUGCCUGUCCCCUUCUGGAUGAGAUUCCUAGGCUUUAGAAGAGCUACAGUGUAUGCACACACCACGCAGAAGAAUUCUUUCUUGGGUCAUCAUUAUUUCUGUUCCUUCCUGGUCACAUUUCUUGUUCUGUGGCUUGUUGAACCUCAGUAUUUUAUAGUUCUGACACAGAAAAAUCCUAAUAAAAUAAUCUACUUGUGACAGGAACAAGAUGAGUAUAAUACUUUAGAAACAGUUGACCUUUUGAAUUUGAUAUUAUCUAAUGUUAUUUGUAUAAUCAUUCUUUACAGCAUCAGAAACCAUGCACUCAAUGUUCUGUCACUGAUGAUUCUUCAUGUUGUUGCAUUGUUUCAAACUUUCAAAUAGUUUAUCACUAUUUCUCUUCUUUCUCCAAUGCACAUUUGCAAGUAAACCUAAACUUGCAAAUUUCUUUAAACAACUAAAGAAAAGCAUGUGUUUUUAGUCAAUUAUACCUGACUGUACUGUACAAAUUUGAUUGACUCUUGAAUCAUCACAAUGCAGACACUUAAUAUUUUUAUUGCAGUUUUCAGAACGGGGGUAGUUAAAUAUGGCCAAGGCUUUUUAUAAAAGGCCAAGUUACAAGUUUAUUAUCUUUGUUUAUAAGUUUUAAUAUUAUCACACAAUGACAACUUUAAUAAUAAAUGCCCUAAUAAACAGCUUGUUUUUAGGAUUUUGCAAAAGGUAAUAUGUACAGUCUCUAGAUUUUACCUUGGCCUACUUAUUGCACCAUUUGUAAACUUGGCUUCAAUGGAGAAAUUACAUUCUUUUAUUGAUUUAACACAGAUAAUUGAUAGUGAUUCUGCAUUAAUAUUUUGCAAGUUUAAAGUGAAAUAAUUACCAACAGUUUAUAAUUAAUAUAACUAGCAUUUAUUCUGAUGUUAAGGUCAAUGUAAAAGUACAAAAGCUGCAAUGCUGAGGUGGCCAUGGAUGGAAAGUGUCCUAUUAUAAUUAUACUGGUUGUUCAGAUGUGCAAUGUUGUUGAUCUAGUACAGUAUGCUUUUCUGUAACCAGCCAUAUAUUUGAACCAUUGAUUUGGAGACUGUGAAAUGUUCUGUAAGAAAAUAAACUGAUUUUAAACCACAAUUUCAA